CUGUCAAAAAACAUUCACAUUCUCUUUUGGUGCAAUUCUACACGCUACUGCUCAUGCAGGUUUCGGCCAAAAGAUCUACACACUACAUGCUUUUAUACACAGGUUUUCUGAAUGCUAGGGUUACAAGACUAUAUAGCCUAUACAGAGCAGAAAAAAAGGUAAUAAACAUAUUAAGAUUCAGAAAUGUCUACCUAUCUGAUUCUAUAGUUUCAGGUUUAUUUCUCUGUUGUCCUGCUGUUCUGGCGAAGUUUCUGCUCCACGCAAGUCUGUUUCAGUUCCUUGCUGCUCAGGAACAGGCAGUUAGUUUCAGUUCCUCGCUGCUCACGAACAGGUAGUUGUAAAGCAGAUCCAGAACUGCCAUCCUGAGCCUGAUGGUGCAUCUAUGUUCCUGUUUCACACAAGGCAGUUUCCAUCCUUGCUUCUCAGGAACAGGCAGCUCGAGGGAUCCUUCAGAACAGCCACCACGAGACUGAGUUGGUGUAGCUGAUGCUUCUGCUGCACACAAGUUUAUUUCUGCCCCUCCCUACUUGGGAGCAAUCAGUCCGUGCGAAACUGCUUCAGAACUGCCAUCCUGGAACUGAUUUGCUGCAUCAAUGCCCCUACCUCACACAAGUCUGUUUCCAUCCCUCUUCGCUCAGGAAUAGGAGGUUAAUGAGAUGCUUCAGAACUUUCGUUCAAAGCCUGAGAUGGUAUAUCUGAUGUUUCUGCUUCACACAAGUCUAUUUCCACCCCUUUCCGCUCAGAAACAGGAAGUCCAUGAGAAAAGGCACCAGAACUGCUGUCCCACGUAGUACAAUGAGAUUGAUCUGCCCUUUCAGGUGUUGAUUUUGAGUCACCCUGGACAGGCAAACUUGAUGCUUCAGCUUUGCACCCAUCUGUCUUCACCCCUCCCUGCUCAGGAGCAUGCAGUUUGUAGGUGAGCUCUCCAGAGCCUCCAUGAUACUCCUGCCCAGGAAGUUGAUCUGCACAUUCAGGUCUCAUUUUUCUGUUGUCCUGUUGUAGUGAAUCUGAUGAUUCUGCUUCACACCAGUCCCUCUUUGUCCCUCGCUGCUCAGGAGCUAGCCGUUUGCACAGUGCAGUUUCAGAAGCACCAUUUUGCACCCAACUGCGACUACGAGGCUCUUCCGUCCGAUGGUAAACAUACCGUUCACGCCAUCCUCCCCUACCUCCCCUCUCAAGACAGGAAGGUCUUCCUCUGCCUCGACUGCCAAUUUGACCAUGUGGUUCUUGUCGUUGAAUACUGCUGAAUUGCCUGUCAACUCCAUAUGACUGGAACCUUUGUUGGAAAGAACUGCUCUGGUACGGAUAAGUUACCACGUUCUGGGACUCUGGAUAAACAGUCCUAUUCUGAUACUCCCUGUUGCAGUAGCUUCUUGGAUACUGCCAUGCAUCAAGAACACUAUUUUGGCCAUGUGAUUCUUCCAUAUGGGCUGAUCUAGGAGUAUUCCUUCCAUUACCUGUUUGAGAACUACUGUGCAGUGGCUCAUAAUACAACCUGCCGUGGGGUUGGGGCCCAAGAUUCUGUUUGGACCAUCCUCGAUACCCUUCCAAAGAACUAUGCUGGUCACUUGAAGCUCUGACUGGAAGUGGAAGCUCAUUCCAUCUUCUUGGUGGGUCGUUCCUGACAGCCACCAUAUCGGGCGUUGAUGACCAAGACAGCACUCCAUUUCCAAGAUUUGCGUGGUUAUUCCUCUGACAAAGUGCACAAAGAAUAAUUGUAAAGCAUUUGAGUCAACACUCGACAGAGCUUUGCAAGCAAUAUGGUUUUACGCUGCAAAUCUUAUGAGGAUGUUUCAGGAAGCUGUGUCAGGGCAGAGCGGCACUCUAACAAGAUUAGCAGAAAGGAUCUGACUGUGCAAGUUGGUGACCCUCAUAAUGCCUUUACACUUGAACAACUACUCCUAUCUGUAUCCUCAAGUGAGUAGACUCAAAGAGGAGCAGGAAAUUAUCACAAACUGUUAGUAUAGGGAUGUACUAAGUAGUUGUAGAGUUCACUCUAUACGAUUUUGUUAAAGAGGACAGGAAAUUAUCAACAAUUAUCAAGGUUGUAAACACAUGCCUAACAAACAGGGUAUAUGGAGCUCUUUGUCUCACAAAAAAAAAUGAGAGGAUUUAGAUUGCGGAA